UCUUUAUAGGCAUCUGAUAGGGAAUGAGGAUCCAGGGUUUCGGAGGGUGUUUCUCCGGCUUGGGUGUUGUAUCAUUCAUCACGGAAUUCAAAGCCAGGUCCCUACUUACUCCCGUGCCUAUAAGGCUGUCUCGACAGGGGGCAACAGGGUGCUGUGUGAUAGUCCACAUGUGUUUCUACUGCAUCACGGAAGGAGAUACAGACGUGACCUCCUAGGACAUGGGCAAAUGCUCAGGGCCAGCGGUAGCUCCAGUGAGCCCCUGAAGAAACUCACUGCUUCUACGAGCCUGACAUUUUAGACUCCACACAGAAGUGAGAUUGUGCAAUGUGUGCCUGGUCUAUUUGACUUAGCACAGUGUUCUCAGUGCUCAACCACUGUAGUUACAAAUGGCAGGGUCUAUUUUUGAGUUGACUCGGGGAAGGAAGAGACUCACAAGCUCUUGGCAGAUAAAUUUUUUAUCUCCCAAAGUCGUAAGUACAAAAUGGAGUGACAAAGAUCUUCACAUUUUGCUCAUCUCUUUGGUCACUUUCCUGCUUUGGAUCGAUCACUCUUCGCUUAUGAUUUUGGUGUGAACCUCGCGGCUCUUCACCCGCAGCUUGUUGACCUGGGACUCGGCGAUGUCAGCCCGCUCCUCGGCUUCCUCCAGCUCGUGCUGGAUCUUGCGGAACUUGGCCAGGUUGACGUUGGAUUGUUCCUCCUGAGAAUGGGAAUGCAUUUGUAAGGAAGAAAUGCUCACAUUUCUAGAUUUUAGGGUCAGUGCAACUUGGGUGUCUUUUUGUUUAAAACCAAUUCAUCCUAGUAAAUUUUCAAAGAAGUCUUGAGAAGUGUGCACUUUUUUUUUGGUCCUAUUAACUCCCCUAUGCUUCAUGAAGUCAUUGUUAAACACAGGUGACAUUGUCUCUGAAUUUUCAGAAAAGCUAACGCUACCAUGAUUGUGCCAGAUUUCCAGGCUCUGUUGUCAUUCCUGUUGAGUUUUCCAGAGAAUGGACAAGACUCACACAAGCAAUCGCUAUGACACCAAACAGAAUAUAAAUUAUUGCCACUUAGGUCUUAAAUUAUCCCCCACUUAAAAAAGUUUAGAAAUUAAACAUGUUUAUUAUUCUCAAAAAUAAUCCAAGUUGUCUCUGAUUAUGCUUGUAGAUAUAGUAAUGAAUUUUGAAAGGCCAAUUUUAAUUUAGUCUCCAGUAAUUAUUCUUUUUUUUAAUGUCUCAUUAAGAACCUUCGCAAAAUAUGACAGGCAGAUUUAGAACACUUAGGAAGCUUAAAAUUACUUGAAAUAGGGUAGCUCCAAAAAGCCCUGCAUCUUCCUUUCACAGUAGAUUAAAAAGCAAGAUCUGGAGUGGAGGGAAGCUACGUGGUUCGCCAGGCUGUGGCUGUGAGGUAUACGUGUGUGUAUGUCUGUUCUCUCUUCUUCCUUUGCUCUCCUCCUCCCCUUUCUCUUCCUCUCAGAGCUAAGAGUUCAGGAGUUAAACAAAAGCCACCAGUGGACAGAGGACCUUAUCACAAUGUGCAGGUACAUGUAUCCAUAGAGACACAGGUGACACCUGACUCCAUAGGAUGAGUCAGAGAAGGGUAAAUGAGAUGACAUAGAGCUGCAGUCGCCCACUGGUUAGGACAUCACUGAACCUUCUGGCCUCCAUACUAUGUAUGACCCUUCAGCUGCUCCCUGGGUCUCUUUACUGCAUAUGCAACAAUGUCUUGUGAAGUAAUUAAAGUAGAAUUCCUACUUCCUUCUCAUCCGGAUCAUCUGGUCCCCUUUGCUUUCCAUUUCAGUCAUAUCUUACUUCCCCGUCUGGCUACUCACACCACAACUUGGUGGAUUAUUCCUGCUUUGUUUCCUUUUACUUCCAGGGCCAGCCUACUGGCAAGCCUAAUGCCUUCUCUCUCCAGGACAAAUCCUGAAUCUCAUCAAUUCUCUUGGUUUUAUUUCUGCCUUUAAUGCAAGCCACACACCCACCUGAAAGACUUCCCAACAUACAUUCGUGCACCUACUUGGGUUUUCCAACAAUCUUUUCUCUACACUCUACUGACAUUUUAAAAAAUAAAAAUCAGGCCACAUCUGGCCUGGAAGGAAAUAUUUCCCUUGAUUCUGUGGCCUGAUUGUUUUUGUAUUAUGAUGAAGGCUUCUUUCCAGGGCCCAGAAGGCCUUGUGACCUACUUUCCAUCUGGUUCUCUAGCCCCAGGUACACUGUUCUCUUUCUCAGUCUUGCUGAUCCAUGAACUAAGUACAUUGCCCGCCCCCCAGCACACUAUAGGGGUUAUUCUUUGGUUAGCUGAGUUUGAUGCUUAUAACUGGACUCGGGGCCUCAAAGAUGCCAAGCCCACAUUCUCCCACUGAGCUAUAUCCCAUCCUUAUUCUCGCUAGUACACUCUUCUAUGCCUUAUGGAAUGGCCAGUAGCCUCACAUUCUUAGACCCUCAAUAGAUCAUUUCCCUCUGAUUCUUCCUUGAUCCCCCCCCCUUUUUUUGCCUUCUGGUGUCUGUUGGCCACCCAGUCAUGUCAGGGGUUCUGAUCUCACCGCUUCCUCGGCUUGUCUCUUGUAUGCUUUGACCUUUGAUUGCAGUUUGUCCACAAGGUCCUGGAGCCUGAGAACGUUCUUGCGGUCUUCCUCAGUCUGAAAGAUUUUAAAGUGUGAGUUUCUUGAAAGCAUAAAUACCACUUCUUUUUUCUGCAUCUAUGGUUUUUAAAUGUCUUGCAGAUAGGGUUGGAAACCCAGAGAAGGCCUUUCCUUACUUGGUAAGUGAGUUCUUUCACUCUUCUCUCAUGUUUGCGCAGACCCUUGAUAGCUUCAACAUUGCGCUUCUGUUCGUUUUCAACUUCUCCUUCAAGUUCACGGACCUACACAGAAAAUGUGGAUUAAAAAAUAAUUUUUUUUUACAUUUGCUUAUUUUACUUUAGGUGUAUGAGUGUUUGCUUGCUUGUGCGAAUGUGCACCACAGAGGUCAGAAGUGAGCCCCCUGGGAAUUGGUGGUACAGAUGGUUGUGAGUCAUCACAUGGAUGCCAGUGCUGGGAACUCAACCUAGGGUCUAUGCAUGAGCUGCAAGUGUCCUUAACCACUGAGCCAUCUCUUCAGGCCCCAAAGGCAGAUUUAUAAAAAUUGUUUCUAUCAUCUAAUCAAUCAGUGAACUUCUCCUUCUUCAACUGGCCUGCUAUGUCAUAUGUAGAUCCUGAUGUCUUCAUCCAAGUGCUCAAACUUAAGCUGUCAGGCCACAGGGACUAUCUGCUCUUCACCUCAGCAUGCCCUACAAGGUCUAGCUGUCUUAGGUAUAAAAAGUCAUGUGCUAGGGUAGAAAGAGACGAACGCAUGGUAACCAGGACACCCACCCUGGCCUCCAGUUUCUGGAUCUGCUUCUUGCCGCCCUUCAGCGCCAGCUGCUCAGCCUCGUCCAGACGGUGCUGCAGGUCCUUCACCGUCUGCUCCAGGUUCUUCUUCAUCCGCUCCAGAUGGGCGCUGGUGUCCUGCUCCUUCUUCAGCUCCUCCGCCAUCAUGGCGGCCUGGAGAGUGAUAAAACAGAGUUGGUUAAGGGCAGACAAGGGCCCAGCAGGAUUCAGACGUGCUAUCUCCAUUCUCACUCUCCACUCACGUCAGUGAUGGCUUUCUUGGCCUUCUCUUCUGCAUUGCGGGCUUCCUGGACGAUGUCCUCCAUCUCUCCCUGGAUCUGGGAAAUGUCUGUCUCCAGCUUCUUCUUGGUGUUGAUGAGGCUGGUGUUCUGAUUAAAAGACCAAACACACAAAUAUUAAAUAUUGAAGAACAAAGUCAGAAAGCCAGAUGUCCAAAGGAGCCUGUAAACUAGUUAUUAACAAGCAUCCCUCAGGAGUUCCAUAAAUUAUCUGAGUUAAGAGUAUAUUUUUAAAGGACAGUCAAUUCUGGAUGUCAUGGGUCAGAUAAACAAAAAUGUUGUUGCCCUUCCUCAGUUAAACAUGUUAAACUUAGUUCUUCAUAAAACAUUAUGGGUAAAUUUCUGAACAGUGGUAAUACCCAUGCAUGUUUUUUUUCCUUCAUAUUUACACACCUGGGUGUGGAGGAGCUGCACGCGCUCACUGGCGUCCAGCAGUUCCUGCUCUGCAAUCUUCCUGCUCCUCUCAGUCUGCUCCAGAGUGGCCCGCAGCUCCUCGAUCUCAGCCUGCAGCAGGUUGGCUCUGCGCUCCACCAUGGCCAGCUGCUCCUUCAGGUCCUCCUGGCCCCGGAGAGCGUCAUCCAGGUGCAACUGGGUGUCCUGUGCAGUGAACAAUCAUUGAGACACUGUGUCCUCAGUCCGUGUCACAGCACUCAUCUGGGAUCACCUCUUGGUGCCACCUACCUUGAGGAUGCCUUGGGUGUUCCUGUAGUUUCUCAGGGCCUCAGCAGCCAUGCGGUUGGAGUGGUUCAGCUGGAUUUCCAUCUCAUUGAGGUCUCCCUCCAUCUUCUUCUUGAUCCUGAUGGCGUCAUUCCUGCUCCUGAUCUCGGCAUCCAGCGUGCUCUGCAUGGACUCCACGACUCGAAUGUGGUUUCUCUUCAGCUGGUCAAUUUCCUCAUCCUUCUCAGCAAUCUUCCUGUCGAUCUCAGACUUGACUUGGUUCAGCUCCAGCUGGAUGCGCAGGAUCUUUCCCUCCUCGUGCUCCAGAGAUGCCUUAAGGACAGUGAGAGGUGACAUUAGCAGGAGAAUGGCUCUGUGCAGUGUCCUAGGAAGGUUAAAUUAUCCCCCUCGUGUGUACCUGUCUUUGUGUUACCACCAAACAUUUUGAUAUGCGACAUUACUCUGCUUUGCUAUAGAAGUAUGUGGUAUGCAUUGUUGUUGGUAUUAUGUAUGUCCCUCUCUCUAGCCAGAUGUUUCUCCCUAAGGAAGGACCCUCCCCUUACUCAUACUUGUUUGUUUUGUUUCUACCACAGUUCUUGAUAUGUACUUAUGGUAUUGUGUUCAUCCUUUAUCUUUAUCCUCAGUGGAGAGAAUAAAGAAUCAUUUUUCAUGUUUUUGGUCCACCAAUCUUUGCACCCCAGAGCAAGGACCUAGUUUCUUCUAUAAUUGUUGUGAAAUGUUCAAUAGAGUGUCACCUCUGCUUCCUCUAAAGCAGCCUGGAGCUCGGAUUUUUCUUGCUCAAUUUGCUUCUUUAUUUUUUCCAGUUCAUGGAUACGUUUCCCUCCUUCUGCAAUCUGUUCAGUGAGGUCAGAGAUCUCCUCUGUUAGGAAAAAAGAAAUAGGAAUGUGUACAGAGAUGGGGAGUGCCCCUUUAAAUCUCUUGUUAAAGAAAAUGAGAGAUGAACUCACGUUGCAAAUUCUUAUUUUCCCUUUUCAAGGUUUCAAGUUGGUCUAAAGAUUCCUCAUAAGCAUUCUUAAUCUUGAACAACUCUGUGCUGAGAGAGCGGGACUCCUUCUGGGAGGCUUCAAGUUCAGCAUGCGUUUCCUCAUACUUCUGUUUCCAUUCUGCCAGGAUCUGAAAAAGCAAGGGAUGUUGAAAAAGAUGUAGCUGAUAAAGUUUGAGGGGUUGGGGUAGAAGCCAUGUGUUACAGAAACUCUGAGUUUGAUCUGAGUGUUCUCAGGUUGAAAAAAAAUAAUUAUGAAGGAGAAAAACUAACAAAGGAGUACUAACACACACACACACACACACGCACGCACACACACACCCUGCUAAUGGAUGAGGGCAACCAAGUGGUUUAGAAGGCUGAUCUCAUCAAAGACCGUAGAAGGAUCUGGAAGCACACCUUGUCGAAGUUUCUCUGCUUCUUGUCCAGGGCGGCACAGGCAGCGUUGGUCCUCUCCACAUCAAUCAUGAGGUCCUCCACCUCAUUCUGCAGCCUCUGCUUCGUCUUCUCCAGGGAAGCACACUUGGCGUUCACGGCUUCUACGUGCUCCUCAGCAUCCUGCAGACGCUGAGCCAGCUUCUUCCUGAGAAAUGACAAUGGAUGAAUGGUUAGAACUAACUGCUUCAAAAAACAGCUGCAACUAAGCCUCCUACUGAACUGAUUUGCAAUACUGUUGUGUGUGGAAUGUUACAGAACACUCAAAGGAGUUGUUCAUUUAAUGAUCGUUAGCCCGUCAUGUGAUCCUGGGACUUUCUUGGUCAUCACGGAGCUGAGAUUUUAGCAUCAGAGAGAACCCUGAGACUCACAGACUGAACUUGGAGCUGCAGGUCAUUUUUCUCCUGCAUCAGAGCCACCAUCUUUUCUUCUAGCUCUUUCCUUUUGGCCUCUGCCUUUGCAAGGUUUUCUUUAGUUUUUUCAAACUCUUCCUUCAUGUUGGCCAUCUCCUUCUCUGUCUCGGCACUCUUCAAGAGAGGUUUGAUCUUGAAAUACAGCUUCAUCCAGGGCCAGUGUUUCACAUUCAUGAAGGCUCGGACGUUGUACUGGAUGCAGAAGAUGGACUCUCUGUGAGAGGAACAGAAAUGUUCAAAGUUGGAUUCUGGCAGGAAUCAGGAAUAAAGGGACUAGAACAAUGAAUGAUACCCUUAUUCAUACCUUCGCUCCACCAUCUUCUGGUACUCCACUCUUGCCAAGUACCCUCGGCACAUGGCCUGCGUCCGGGUAAUCAGCUGGGCCAACUUGUCAUCUCUCAUCUCCUCUAGGAGCCCCAGAAGACCAGCUUUGAAAAAGACCUGUGUGCAAGCAAUGUUUCAGAUCAGAAACUUCACACAAAGUUUAAAGGGGCAGGAAAACAUUAAGUUGGAUUUCAAGAGGAUUACCUUGGUGUGACCAAACUUAUACUGAGUGUGGUCAAUGUCGAUGGAGCCAAGGAGCUUCUCAGAAGCCUUCUUGCUAUCGAUGAAUUGUCCCUCGGGGAUGGCACUUGCAUUUAACACCUUGUAUCUGUUCAAGCCAACCAAAUAAAUGACAUAGCUAUUGUCACCAAGCAAAUCUCCUUACCAUAGGAACACUAUUGAAAGAACUAUAUUAUCCCUUUAUCUAUUCCUCGUACAGUCAAAGGACUUUACAACAUGUCCCCAAGUCACUUGAAUGCUGCUUUUCUAAUUGUUAAAAAGGAAAAGCAAUAGCAAAAACCCUUAAACUAAUCCACAGUGACAAAUAUACAACCUCUGCUUGAAGUCUGCGUAGAGGAUCCUGCUGGGGAACCCCUUCCUGCAGAUGCGGAUGCCUUCCAGUACCCCGUUACACCUCAGCUGGUGCAGGACCAGUUCGUGCUCCAUGGCACCUGAAAGAACACAUGCACUUCAUGGUCUAGACUCUGAAACAAACACACUGGGACUUGUCUGGUUAGAGGACAGAAGUGUCUUACCAGGCGUCUUAGUCUCAUUGGGGAUGAUGCACCGGACAAAGUGGGGGUGAGUGCUCCUCAGAUUGGUCAUCAGCUUAUUCAGGUUCUCCUAUGGAGUCAUAGAACGUCUACUUUAGUGUGUGAUGUUAUAUACACUCCCAUUUACAGGCAGAGUGGCCAUGAACCACCACUUUGGUUCAAUUCUACUGAAUAGUAUGCAGUUGUGAGUUUUCCAGACUCAUGGAUAGAGUUUCUAAGGCCUUGACAUGCCCUCCUAGCUUAUGUUUUGUGGACCACAAGCAUGGCUUCCUGUUAGUUGUUGAGAUGGCUGCUCACUGCUGAUGAAUUUCUUGGCAUGUGUGACAUAUUUAUCAUAGCACUGUAAGCGUGUGAUGGAGCUUCAUCCACACAUGGGGCCUUUGCUGAGGUAUUUGGUGUGGCUUAACUCCUAAUCCAGUGCUGCCUUCCAGCCUUCCAUCUAUCACCUUACUUCCCUGAGCUCUUUUCUUGUUCUGGAUACACAGCUGUAUCAUCCUACUAAUAGCCACAAUACUAAGUAUCAAAAGUUUACCAUUUUUUGGAGAAACUCUUUCAAAAUAACAAGAGCAUCCAGUUUUGAAGAUGCAAUUAAGCCAAGAAAAGAGAUUUUUUUUCCCUUGAAAUCUCCAGAUUUAUCACAUCUGGUUUCUUAUAUUUUCUCCUUUGGACUCACUGCUCUCCAAUUCCUGCUGUGAUUCACCAGUCCUCCACUUUCAAAUGAAGCCUCUACUAAGUAUAGACUCCUAGACUAUACUUAGGAACUUGGAAGCUCCCAGAAGAUCAAGAAAAUCUCAUCGUAUAUGCAAUCUUGUCCUGCUGGAGUUGUGUUUUUGUUUUUGUUUUUGUUUUUGUUUUUGUUUUUGUUUUUGUUUUUGUUUUUUAAUGCCAAAUGACCUCGUUACUGAGUUUCCAAUCUGAUGCUUCUGUAAGUCACUCCUGACCCUUAUCUUGGUUAUUAGGGAUUGCUUCAAAGCUAUUCUGACCCUCCCUAAAAUUCAGGUCUACCACUGCCUUCUGACCCACCCCAACCCACCUGAGUCAUAUAACCAGUUUCAGAGUCUUCAAGACAAUAUCUCUGCCCCACCACACCCUUUAUAUACAGCCACAUAUAAUCUAACACCCUAAACCUGUUUAGAGAGAACAUGAAGUUUGUACCCUGAAGAGAGCUGACACAGUCUGGAAGGAAGAACCCUUCUUCUUUGCCCCUUUCUUUCCACCACCGCCACCAGACUCUGGGGAAGCAAGGAAAGCAGAGUCAUUUAGAAGCCAGGCUUAGAAAUUCCACAUUAAAUAAAUAUCACAUUAAUAAAUAUCACAUUAAAUAAAUAUCACAGUAAUAAAUAUUACCUGCUUCAGCAGCAGCUGCUGCCCCAGAGAAGAGGUAAGCCAGAGUUUUCAUUGAAGACUUCUGGUACAGCCCCACCACGGUCUCAUUCAGGGGGUCCUUGUUCUUGUCCAGCCAGCCAGCGAUGUUGUAGUCAACGGUGCCGGCAUAGUGCACCAGAGAGAAGUGGG